UAGGGAAUCUUCGGCAAUGGACGAAAGUCUGACCGAGCAACGCCGCGUGAGUGAAGAAGGUUUUCGGAUCGUAAAACUCUGUUGUUAGAGAAGAACAAGGACGUUAGUAACUGAACGUCCCCUGACGGUAUCUAACCAGAAAGCCACGGCUAACUACGUGCCAGCAGCCGCGGUAAUACGUAGGUGGCAAGCGUUGUCCGGAUUUAUUGGGCGUAAAGCGAGCGCAGGCGGUUUCUUAAGUCUGAUGUGAAAGCCCCCGGCUCAACCGGGGAGGGUCAUUGGAAACUGGGAGACUUGAGUGCAGAAGAGGAGAGUGGAAUUCCAUGUGUAGCGGUGAAAUGCGUGGAUAUAUGGAGGAACACCAGUGGCGAAGGCGGCUCUCUGGUCUGUAACUGACGAUGAGGCUCGAAAGCGUGGGGAGCAAACAGG
rnacentral:rRNA from 1 species